rnacentral:snRNA from 1 species
GUGCUUCUUCAGCAGCACACAUAUGUUAAAAUUGGAAUGAUACAGAAAGAUUAGCAUGACCCCUGUACCUGCAUGACAUUUAUGAAGUAUUCCAUAUUUUC